GCAUCCGUAGCUCAGCUGGAUAGAGUACUCGGCUACGACCCGAGCGGUCGGAGGUUCGAUUCCUCCCGGAUGCACCA
rnacentral:tRNA from 1 species